rnacentral:rRNA from 1 species
GACAGAGGGGGCAAGCGUUGCUCGGAAUCACUGGGCGUAAAGGGCGCGUAGGCGGGAUGGCAAGUCGGUCGUGAAAUCCUUCGGCCCAACCGAAGAACGUCGGCCGAUACUGCCGUUCUUGAGGGAUGCAGAGGAGACUGGAAUUCCCGGUGUAGCGGUGAAAUGCGUAGAUAUCUGGAGGAACACCGGUGGCGAAGGCGGCAUCCUGGACCAACACUGACGCUGAGUGAGCGAAAGCCAGGGGAGCAAACGGG